ACUCAAAGGAAUUGACGGGGGCCCGCACAAGCGGUGGAGCAUGUGGUUCAAUUCGACGCAACGCGAAGAACCUUACCCAGGCUCGAACGGCAUUGGACAUCCUGCGAAAGCAGGCUCCCGCAAGGGCCGAUGUCGAGGUGCUGCAUGGCUGUCGUCAGCUCGUGUCGUGAGAUGUUGGGUUAAGUCCCGCAACGAGCGCAACCCUUGUCCGCUGUUGCCAUCACGUUAUGGUGGGCACUCUGCGGAGACUGCCGGUGAUAAACCGGAGGAAGGUGGGGAUGACGUCAAGUCAGCAUGGCCUUUAUGUCUGGGGCUACACACGUGCUACAAUGGCCGGUACAAACCGUCGCGAUCUCGCAAGAGGGAGCUAAUCGGAGAAAGCCGGUCUCAGUUCGGAUUGCAGGCUGCAACUCGCCUGCAUGAAGUUGGAAUCGCUAGUAAUCGCGGAUCAGCACGCCGCGGUGAAUACGUUCCCGGGCCUUGUACACACCGCCCGU
rnacentral:rRNA from 1 species